rnacentral:piRNA from 1 species
UGUGCGUUAAUGCAGACAAUGUUUUGGCGUU